GUAAACGAUGAGUGCUAAGUGUUGGAGGGUUUCCGCCCUUCAGUGCUGCAGCAAACGCAUUAAGCACUCCGCCUGGGGAGUACGACCGCAAGGUUGAAACUCAAAGGAAUUGACGGGGGCCCGCACAAGCGGUGGAGCAUGUGGUUUAAUUCGAAGCAACGCGAAGAACCUUACCAGGUCUUGACAUCCUUUGACCACUCUAGAGAUAGAGCUUCCCCUUCGGGGGCAAAGUGACAGGUGGUGCAUGGUUGUCGUCAGCUCGUGUCGUGAGAUGUUGGGUUAAGUCCCGCAACGAGCGCAACCCUUAUUGUUAGUUGCCAUCAUUUAGUUGGGCACUCUAGCGAGACUGCCGGUGACAAACCGGAGGAAAGGUGGGGAUGACGUCAAAUCAUCAUGCCCCUUAUGACCUGGGCUACACACGUGCUACAAUGGGAAGUACAACGAGUUGCGAAGUCGCGAGGCUAAGCUAAUCUCUUAAAGCUUCUCUCAGUUCGGAU
rnacentral:rRNA from 1 species